rnacentral:rRNA from 1 species
UUGAUCCUGGCUCAGGAUGAACGCUAGCUNCNGGCUUAACACAUGCAAGUCGAGGGGCAGCAUUGGAGUAGCAAUACUUCAGAUGGCGACCGGCGCACGGGUGAGUAACACGUAUCCAACCUGCCGCUUACUCGGGGAUAGCCUUUCGAAAGAAAGAUUAAUACCCGAUGGUAUAAAGAGUUCGCAUGUUCUCUUUAUUAAAGAAUUUCGGUAAGCGAUGGGGAUGCGUUCCAUUAGAUUGUUGGUGGGGUAACGGCCCACCAAGUCUACGAUGGAUAGGGGUUCUGAGAGGAAGGUCCCCCACAUUGGAACUGAGACACGGUCCAAACUCCUACGGGAGGCAGCAGUGAGGAAUAUUGGUCAAUGGACGAGAGUCUGAACCAGCCAAGUAGCGUGAAGGAUGACUGCCCUAUGGGUUGUAAACUUCUUUUAUAAGGGAAUAAAGUGAGGGACGUGUCCCUUUUUGUAUGUACCUUAUGAAUAAGGAUCGGCUAACUCCGUGCCAGCAGCCGCGGUAAUACGGAGGAUCCAAGCGUUAUCCGGAUUUAUUGGGUUUAAAGGGAGCGUAGGUUGACAUAUAAGUCAGCUGUGAAAGUUUACGGCUCAACCGUGAAAUUGCAGUUGAUACUGUAUGUCUUGAGUGUACAAGAGGUGGGCGGAAUUCGUGGUGUAGCGGUGAAAUGCUUAGAUAUCACGAAGAACUCCAAUUGCGAAGGCAGCUCACUGGGGUACAACUGACACUGAGGCUCGAAAGUGUGGGUAUCAAACAGGAUUAGAUACCCUGGUAGUCCACACAGUAAACGAUGAAUACUCGCUGUUUGCGAUAUACAGUAAGCGGCCAAGCGAAAGCAUUAAGUAUUCCACCUGGGGAGUACGCCGGCAACGGUGAAACUCAAAGGAAUUGACGGGGGCCCGCACAAGCGGAGGAACAUGUGGUUUAAUUCGAUGAUACGCGAGGAACCUUACCCGGGCUUGAAUUGCAGAGGAACAUAGUUGAAAGAUUAUGGCCGCAAGGUCUCUGUGAAGGUGCUGCAUGGUUGUCGUCAGCUCGUGCCGUGAGGUGUCGGCUUAAGUGCCAUAACGAGCGCAACCCUUAUCAUUAGUUACUAACAGGUCAUGCUGAGGACUCUAGUGAGACUGCCGUCGUAAGAUGUGAGGAAGGUGG